rnacentral:rRNA from 1 species
GGUCAAGUGAAGAAGCGCACACGGGGGAUGCCUUGGCACGAGUCGGCGAUGAAGGACGUGGCAAGCUGCGAUAAGCCUCGGGGAGCUGCAAGCAAGCAUCGAUCCGGGGAUGUCCGAAUGGGGAAACCUGGCGGGGGAAACCCCGUCGCUCGUUGAGAGCGCCAACCCGGGGAACUGAAACAUCUAAGUACCCGGAGGAAAAGAAAUCAAAAGAGAUUCCCGGAGUAGCGGCGAGCGAAAUGGGAAGAGCCCAAACCGGCGGAGUUUAACUUCUGCCGGGGUUGCGGGGCUCCAGCAAUGUGUUGCCGGAAAGCAUAGCAGAACGCGCCUGGAACGGCGGACCAGAGAGGGUGACAGUCCUGUACGCGAAAUGCGAGUAAGGUGGCCGCUGGAGUACCCAAGUAGGCCGGGACACGAGGAAUCCCGGUUGAAUCUGGGGGGACCAUCCUCCAAGGCUAAAUACGAACUCGUGACCGAUAGUGAAGAGUACCGUGAGGGAAAGGUGAAAAGAACGCCUGGCGGCGAGUGAAAUAGAAUCUGAAACCGUGUGCGUACAAGCGGUCGGAGCCCGCAUCCCCGUCUUCGGACGAGGGAGGGGGUGACGGCGUGCCUUUUGGAUUAUGAUCCGGCGAGUUGCUCCUCACGUGCGAGGUUAAGGUCUUCUGGACCGAAGCCGAAGCGAAAGCGAGUCUGAAAUGGGCGUCAGAGUACGUGGGGGCAGACCCGAAACCGAGCGAUCUAUCCAUGGCCAGGGUGAAGCCGGGGUAAUGCCUGGUGGAGGCCCGAACCGUUGUAGGUUGAAAACUGCUCGGAUGAGCUGUGGAUAGGGGUGAAAGGCCAAUCAAGCUCGGAGAUAGCUGGUUCUCCCCGAAAUAUAUUUAGGUAUAGCCUCAGGUAAUUGUCUGGAGGAGGUAGAGCACUGGAUGCGCUAGGGGCCUUACCAGGUUACCGAACCCAACCAAACUCCGAAUGCCUCACAGAUGUAUCCUGGGAGUCAGUGAGCGGGCGAUAAUGUCCGUUCGCGAGAGGGAAAGAUCCCAGACCGUCAGCUAAGGCCCCCAAGUCCGUGCUAAGUGAGAAAGGAUGUGGAUGUGCAGAGACAACUAGGAGGUUGGCUUAGAAGCAGCCAUUCCUUUAAAGAGUGCGUAAUAGCUCACUAGUCAAGUGCAUCUGCGCCGAUAAUGGUCGGGACUCAAGCUUGUCACCGAAGCUACGAAUGGAUCAGAUCCUUCGCGAGAAGGAUCGAACAUGGUAGGGGAGCGUUCCCUGGGCGCUGAAGCCUUCCCGGAAGGGUCAAGGUGGAGCGCAGGGAAGUGAGUAUGCCGGAAUGAGUACGCGAGAAACAGGGUGAGAAUCCCUGUCACCGAAAGCCUAAGGUUUCCGGAGCCAGGUUCAUCCGCUCCGGGUUAGUCGGUACCUAAGCCGAGGCCGAAAGGCGUAGGCGAUGGACAACAGGUUAAUAUUCCUGUACCGUGCGUAGAGCGUUUGACCUCAAGGGGGGACGCGGAAGUGAAAGGACCGUCGGGUGGUGGAAUUCCGAUGCAAGGUGGUAGGCGUUUCCGGGGGAGAAAAGACCCGGAUAGCCGAGCGCCGAUGCCGAAGGGGACCUCGGUCCCCGCCAAGGGUCCGUAAUCAUACCGCCAGGAAAAGCCUCGUGAGGGAGUUCUGGGCGCGACCGUACCGUAAACGGACACACGUAGGCGAGGCGAGGAGCCUAAGGUGCGCGAGUGAUCCGCGGAGAAGGAACUCGGCAAAAUGUCCCCGUAACUUCGGGAGAAGGGGAGCCCGUGGUAGGUGAAGCAUGGUUGCGUGCGGAGCCGAAGCGGGCCGCAGAGAAUCGGUCCAAGCGACUGUUUAGUAAAAACACAGGUGUCUGCAAAGUCGUAUAGACGACGUAUAGGCACUGACGCCUGCCCGGUGCCGGAAGGUUAAAGGGAUGGGUCAGGGUCCUUCGGGACUCGAAGCUCCUAACUGAAGCCCCGGUAAACGGCGGCCGUAACUAUAACGGUCCUAAGGUAGCGAAAUUCCUUGUCGGGUAAGUUCCGACCUGCACGAAUGGCGUAACGACUUGGGCGCUGUCUCCUCCGCGAGCUCGGCGAAAUUGGAGUAUCGGUGAGGAUACCGAUUACCCGCGACAGGACAAAAAGACCCCGUGCACCUUUACUACAACCUGCUAUUGGGUCUUGGCAUUGCAUGUGUAGGAUAGGUGGGAGGCUGAGAACCAUCUUCGCCAGGAGAUGGGGAGCCAUUGGUGAAAUACCACCCUUACACUGUCGAGGCUCUAACCCAGGGGAGUGAAUCCUCCUCGGGGACAGUUGCAGGCGGGUAGUUUGACUGGGGCGGUCGCCUCCCAAAAGGUAACGGAGGCGCGCAAAGGUUCCCUCAGCGCGGUCGGCAAUCGCGCGAAGAGUGCAAAGGCAUAAGGGAGCUUGACUGCGAGACCGACGGGUCGAGCAGGUACGAAAGUUGGCCUUAGUGAUCCGGCGGUUCCGAAUGGAAGGGCCGUCGCUCAACGGAUAAAAGGUACGCCGGGGAUAACAGGCUUAUCGCCCCCGAUAGUUCACAUAGACGGGGCGGUUUGGCACCUCGAUGUCGGCUCAUCGCAUCCUGGGGCCGGAGAAGGUCCCAAGGGUCGGGCUGUUCGCCCGUUAAAGCGGUACAUGAGCUGGGUUUAGAACGUCGUGAGACAGUUCGGUCUGUAUCCGUCGUGGGCGUUGGAGUGUUGCGAGGAUCUGUCCCUAGUACGAGAGGACCGGGAUGGACUGACCUCUCGUGUACCGGUUGUCCCGCCAGGGGCAUCGCCGGGUAGCGACGUCGGGAAGGGAUAACCGCUGAAAGCAUCUAAGUGGGAAGCCCACCUCAAGAUGAGCACUCCCAGGGCGUGAAGCCCUCGGAAGGGCCGUGCGAGACGAGCACGUUGAUAGGCGGCAGGUGGAAGCAUGGCGACAUGUGCAGCCGAGCCGUACUAAGUGCCCGAGAGGCUUGACCAG